rnacentral:rRNA from 1 species
AGUGAACGCUGCGGUAGGCCUAACACAUGCAAGUCGAACGGCAGCACAGGAGAGCUUGCUCUCUGGGUGGCGAGUGGCGGACGGGUGAGGAAUACAUCGGAAUCUACCUUUUCGUGGGGGAUAACGUAGGGAAACUUACGCUAACACCGCAUACGACCUACGGGUGAAAGUGGGGGACCGCAAGGCCUCACGCGAUUAGAUGAGCCGAUGUCCGAUUAGCUAGUUGGCGGGGUAAUGGCCCACCAAGGCGACGAUCGGUAGCUGGUCUGAGAGGAUGAUCAGCCACACUGGAACUGUGACACGGUCCAGACUCCUACGGGAGGCAGCAGUGGGGAAUAUUGGACAAUGGGCGCAAGCCUGAUCCAGCCAUACCGCGUGGGUGAAGAAGGCCUUCGGGUUGUAAAGCCCUUUUGUUGGGAAAGAAAUCCUGUCGAUUAAUACUCGGUGGGGAUGACGGUACCCAAAGAAUAAGCACCGGCUAACUUCGUGCCAGCAGCCGCCGUAACAC